rnacentral:rRNA from 1 species
UACGAAGGGGGCUAGCGUUGCUCGGAAUCACUGGGCGUAAAGCGCCCGUAGGCGGAUCUUUAAGUCAGGGGUGAAAUCCCGGGGCUCAACCCCGGAACUGCCUUUGAUACUGGGUAUCUGGAGGUCGAGAGAGGCGAGUGGAAUUCCGAGUGUAGAGGUGAAAUUCGUAGAUAUUCGGAGGAACACCAGUGGCGAAGGCGACUAACUGGACAUGUAUUGACGCUGAGGUGCGAAAGCGUGGGGAGCAAACAGG